AUUGAACGCUGGCGGCAGGCUUACCACAUGCAUGUCGAGCGAGCGGCAGACUGGUGCGUAAUGUCUGGGAAACUGCCUGAUGGAGGGGAAUAACUACUGGAAACGGUAGCUAAUACCGCAUACCCUAAGAUGGGCCCAGAGGGGAUUAGCUGGUAGGUGGGGUAAUGGCUCACAUAGGCGACGAUCCCUAGCUGGUCUUAGAGGAUGACCAGCCACACUGAACCGGAGCCACGGUCCAGACGCCUACGGGCGGAAGCAGUGGGGCGUAUUGCACAAGGGGCGCAAGCCUGAUGCAGCCAGGCCGCGUGUGUGACGAAGGCCUUCGGGUUGUACAGCACUUUCAGCGAGGAGGCGUUACUCGCAGACGAAGCACCGGCUAACUCCGUGCCAGCAGCCGCGGUAAUUC
rnacentral:rRNA from 1 species